rnacentral:misc_RNA from 1 species
AACGCACAUUGCGCCCGCCAGUAUUCUGGCGGGCAUGCCUGUUCGAGCGUCAUUUCAACCCUCAAGCCCAGCUUGGUGUUGGGGAUCGGCACGGGCGCCCUCGGGCGCCAGCCGUCCCCUAAAUCUAGUGGCGGUCCCGCUGCAGCCUCCUCUGCGUAGUAGUUUUCUCCUCGCAAGGGCAGCUCGGUGGCGACCUCGCCGUAAAACCCCCAACUUCUGAAAGGUUGACCUCGAAUCAGGUAGGAAUACCCGCUGAACUUAA